AACGAACGCUGGCGGCAUGCCUAACACAUGCAAGUCGAACGAGACCUUCGGGUCUAGUGGCGCACGGGUGCGUAACGCGUGGGAACCUGCCCUUAGGUUCGGAAUAACUCCCCGAAAGGGGUGCUAAUACCGGAUAAUGUCUUCGGACCAAAGAUUUAUCGCCUUUGGAUGGGCCCGCGUUGGAUUAGCUAGUUGGUAGGGUAAAAGCCUACCAAGGCGACGAUCCAUAGCUGGUCUGAGAGGAUGAUCAGCCACACUGGGACUGAGACACGGCCCAGACUCCUACGCGAGGCAGCAGUGGGGAAUAUUGGACAAUGGGCGAAAGCCUGAUCCAGCUAUGCCUCGUGAGUGCUGAAGGCCUUAGGGUUGUAAAGCUCUUUUACCCGGGAUGAUAAUGACAGUACCGGGAGAAUAAGCUCCGGCUAACUCCGUG
rnacentral:rRNA from 1 species